rnacentral:lncRNA from 1 species
UGCACACCUGUAAUCCCAGCUAUUCGGCUGAGGCACGAGAAUCAUUUGAACCCAGGACACGGAGAUUGCAGUGAGCCAAGAUCACACCACUGCACUCCAGCCUGGGCAACAGAACGAGAUUCUGUCUUAAAUGAAUGAGUGAAUGAAUGAAGUGAAUUACAAAAAAUUUUAAAAUACAAACCAAAUGUUUUGUUAAAUUCAACAGACAUAAUUAUGUGUCAGCUGCAUGCAGUGGCUCAUGCCUGUAAUCCCAACACUUUGGGAGGAAUUACAGGGACCAGGAGUUUGAGACUAGCUUGGCCAACAUAGUGAAACCCCAUCUCUACCAAAAAAUAUAAAAAUUAGCCAAGUAUGGUGGCAUAUGCCUAUAUUCUAGCUACUCAGGAGGCUGAGAUGGGAGAGUCGCUUAAACCCAGGAGGUGGAGGUUGAAAUGAGCUGAGAUCAUGCCACUGCACUCCAGCCCAGGUGACAGAGGGAGACUCUCUCAAAGAAAAAGGAAAAAAAAUUACUGUGUCUAAUUUCUAUAAAAUUUUUUUUUUUACUUAUUCUCAAUUUCUGUACUUGUGGAUCAGUAGCAAACUUCAUGGACUGGCAUCAGUAUGAAUGACAUUUGAGUAGCACUGUUUGGUGUGCAGCAUACUAGAGUAGUGAGAGAAGGAAACAUCUGUGGACAUUGUAUCAACUGGGAGGCCACCGAACAUUUUGUCAUGUUUGUUGAAUAACUUAUGCAGCCUCAGGCAGCCUGUCAGGGCAGUGGUGUGGCAAAGCCAUAAUAUUUGUAUGGGGCUCAUUCUACUGAGAGGCAUAUCUGCUGUUCUGAUAGUGUAGUCUCCUCCAUUUUUCCUCCAGCACUCUGCUCUUUGGGAGGCACUGCAGGGUGGCUGUGACUUUGGUCAGGUGUAGCUUAUGUUUGGCCAUCUCUUGGUUGAUCCAGUUUAUUUGUCUUAGUUUCAGUGAUGGCCAGAGGGUUACAAAGGAUUUGGAAUGGAGCAUGUCUCAGGGUGAUGUGAACUCUGUUGUUGCCUGGAUUUCCAGAUCAUGUGACAGAGAAUCAGCUGGAUCAUUUCAGCUGUCCAGGUUAUCAGUUAGAAUAAAGUUUUUAAAAACUAAAAUCUUGGGAGCAAGGAGGCCUCUCUGAUGUAAAGAAAGAUGAGUAGACUGGUUUAUCCCUUCUAUGCAGUUAGUACAUGAGAGUACCCUGGUCCUUUAAGAGCCAGAGUUCUUUGGGGUUUUUGUUUGUUUUCCCCCAUUAAAAAGCACUAGCAUUUAUUAGGGGAAAAUGAGGUUCUCCUCAACUCAUGUUUUCCCUCUCUGUAUUGUGGAAAAUCUGAACCUCACUCUGAAAGUGAAUACAUCCAUUUGAAAGGGAUGGCAGGUUACCAAGAGUGUCAUUUAAUGAAACCCCUCUUUUUCUUGACCAAAAGAGACCUUGUUUUCUUUGAGAAGCAGGAGUUCACUUUAAUUUUUAUGAACAUCUCACACCACUUCCACCUAACCCUACCUACUGUAAUAUGGGCUGGCCUGUCAAGUCUUGGGCAAGAAUAGUGAUAAGAUGCUAUCAGGUCAGAACCCAUAUUGUUAGAGUAGCUGAAAGAUUCAGGAGUUCUUAUUUUGAACUCUUGCAUGUAGAAUCAUUACAAGAUGUCUCUUAAAUGCAGUUAGAGUGAGAGGAAAGCUGGAGCUGUGGGUGGGGAACAUGUCAGAGGUGGGGCUCAGCAGGAAGUGGGACCAGUGCCUGCUGGAUGUGGUAGAUAAGUACCGGUUUUGGAUUAGGGAUUGUUUUCUCACUUACCUUCUUUAAAAAAAGAAUGUGGCCAUUAGCCUUUGGUUCUGGCAUGGCAUUAGGAAUGGCUUAUUCCAGCAGUCAGCAUGAUUUCCAGGUUCCAUGUCUUCUACAUGGAAAACAUGUCAAAGGACAGGAGCAGUGACCACCUGACAACAUCGCAGUGGGAGGAAAAGAGAAAUCAUGUUUAUUCCUCAGGAAUGCUGAAGUACCCUGGAGUAAGCUGUCAUUCUUAUUAUAACAAUGUUAUUAGUAAUGCUUUAAACUCCAGCACACUUGUUAUGUAUUUGAAACCAAGUCUGUUUCUUGUUUUGUAUUUUCUCUCUGGAAAUUGUAAGGCGGUGGUCUUAAAUACAUUAAACAAAAAUAGGAAAAAAAGCAGUUAAAAUUUGAUGGCAUAUCAGCCAGCUGACCCAAUUCUUGGCACAGUCAACAAGUAUCUUUGAUUUGUUUUCAGCAGGGCUAAGUCAUCAGAUAUGUCAGAAGGGGUAAAAAAAAAAAACACCUGUCUUUUAGUCAUUUCUUUGCUGUCCCAAAAAUCUAAGUAUUAUAGUGAGUAACAUUAGCUUGCAGUUUUUAAUAGUUCAUCAAUAAGUCUGAAUCCUUGUCAGUUGCCACACUGGCUACCCAGAAAAUUUCAGGCAGUUAUAUGCCUCAGGCAGUUAUAUGAAGGUUUAUUUCCUUCUUAUACAUUAAAAAUAGUGUGAAACAUGAUUGAAAAUACACUGUUUUAGUCUCUUGAUUUUGUAUCCACUUUCAACAUUUUAAUAUGAAACCUUGACAGAGACUUUGCUGUAAUUUUGGUCUUGAGGGGCGGGGGGACUCAUCCAACUCACAGUACCCAGCAGUCUGAGUUCUUCAGAUAGGCAUAAAGAAACGAGAAGUUACAUAAUUUUUGUUGAAUGGGUAUGGUGAUGUUGGCAAAUGAUUAAGCCUAAGAAAAACUGUUUGUGUACCAGCACCUGUAAUCCCAGCUACUCGGGAGGGUGAGGCAGGAGAAUCACUUCAACCCAGGAGGCAGAGGCUACAGUGAGCUGAGAUCGUACCACAGCACUGCAUCCUGGGCGACAGAGUGAGUGAGACUCUGUCUCAAAAAAAAAAAAAAAAAAAACAGAAAAGCUACAAAACAUUCACACAUUUUGUUGUUUUCUAUGUCUCUGUAUAAAUGAUGAGCUUUAAAGUUAAUCCUCAAUUUUAAAUAUACAAAAUUUUUAAUUUGUACUUUUGAUACCAUGCACUUUUGGAAAUUUUUUAUUUUUUGAGAGCAUGAUACUUAUUUCUUACGCUCAUGUUUGAAAAGGUUUAGAAAUGUGGUUGCUAAAUUAGUUUUAAAACAACAACUGUGACUGUUUUACCUGUGUCCAACAUGUUGAGAACUCAAAAAGUAGUAAAUCGGGCUGUCUUAAUAGUGCGCCUGUUACUAAUGGAAUUUACUUAAAAAGUAAGUUUGCCAUAUGAAAGGGUAUUAAUAUCCUUUUCAAGCAUAACAUACAAAUGAAUUUUCAUCUUAAAUAUAUUAACUUCUGAUAAGAAAACAGAUGCUAGGCCUAAAGAUAUUUGCUACAUAGGAAAAAUGAUUUUUAAAAAAUUUGUCUGGGGUGCCUGUAGUCCCAGCUACUCGGGAGGCUGAGGCAGGGGAAUGGCGUGAAUCCGGGAGGCGGGUCUUGCAGUGAGCAGAGAUCGCGCCACCGCACUCCAGCCUCGCCGACAAAGCGAGACUCUGUGUCAA